rnacentral:lncRNA from 1 species
ACUUGCUUGUAGUCAAACAGAAGGCAGAGCUGCGAAUCAAAUCCAGGUUUGUCUCGACAUGCCACUAGCUCAUACUUCCCUUGGAUCAGCCACUAAAUGGCUUUCACUCCAGUGAGCAGCGACCAGCACCAGAAUUAUGGAACAUUUAUCAACAGCCUAAAAUAAAGACAACACGAGGAGAAUUUGGUUGCUUAUAUAGAUUCAAGGUACAAUCCUGCUGGAUUCUGGAAGAAGAAAUAUCACAGUGUGCAUGCACAGAAGUACGACCAUGUGAAGAGGUAGCAAGAGAGCAGCAAUCUACAAGCCAAGGAAAGAGGCCACAGAGGAAACCAACCCUGCCAGCAUCUUGAUCUUGGACUUCCAGCUUCCAGAACUGCCUUGUUCUUCUACCUUAUGAUGAUUCAAGCAAUGCCUGCUGCUUUUCCAAUCUGGGUUAGUUCAGAGUUAGGCAAACAGAGAACCAGGGACCCCACUCCCAUGCCGACAGUAUGGGCUGCUGUCUUCAGGACCAUUGCAAGUGUCCUUCACGGUUCGGUUCACAUUUCACAAGCCCCAUGAAGUCUAUCUGGAUUUUCGAUGGAUGUCUUGCCUUUUCCUCUACACACUACAGGAAGAGUGGCCACCCCUGCCAAGGGCCUAGUAUAGUACCCUAUACAUGUAGCUGAUCAGUUGAUUGUUACUGAUCAUAUGUAUCCUGCAUCAUGUUAUAAAAAAUUAACACAGUGCUUGGCACAUACUUGUACUGAAUGUCAGAGCUGCAGCAUGAUCUGGAGGCUUUCCUCGCUUUCUUCUGCUUCCCCUCCCUUGAUCCUUCACAGGCAUUUUCCUCAAUACAUCUCUUGCCUGGCUAA